rnacentral:tRNA from 1 species
GGGGGCGUAGCUCAGUAGGUAGAGCGGAAGAUUUGGACCCUUCGCGUCGCCGGUUCGAUUCCGGCCGCCCCCACCA